AUACGUAGGUGACAAGCGUUAUCCGGAUUUACUGGGCGUAAAGGGCGUGUAGGCGGUCUUGCAAGUCAGAAGUGAAAUUCCUGAGCUCAACUCGGGCGCUGCUUCUGAAACUGCAGGACUUGAGUGCUGGAGGGGAUAGCGGAAUUCCUAGUGGAGCGGUAAAAUGCGCAGAUAUUAGGAAGAACACCGGUGGCGAAGGCGGCUAUCUGGACAGUAACUGACGCUGAGGCGCGAAAGCGUGGGGAGCAAACAGGAUUAGAUACCCUGGUAGUCCACGCCGUAAACGAUAAAUACUAGGUGUAGGGGGUAUCGACUCCCUCUGUGCCGCAGUUAACACAAUAAGUAUUCCGCCUGGGGAGUACGGCCGCAAGGUUGAGACUCAAAGGAAUUGACGGGG
rnacentral:rRNA from 1 species